CAGUCGCCGCGGUAAAACGUAGGGUGCAAGCGUUGUCCGGAAUUAUUGGGCGUAAAGAGCUCGUAGGCGGUUUGUCGCGUCUGCUGUGAAAACGCGAGGCUCAACCUCGCGCCUGCAGUGGGCACGGGCAGACUAGAGUGUGGUAGGGGAGAUUGGAAUUCCUGGUGUAGCGGUGGAAUGCGCAGAUAUUAGGAGGAACACCGAUGGCGAAGGCAGAUCUCUGGGCCAUUACUGACGCUGAGGAGCGAAAGCGUGGGGAGCGAACAGGAUUAGAUACCCGAGUAGUCCCUGUCUCUUAUAC
rnacentral:rRNA from 1 species